rnacentral:misc_RNA from 1 species
AAGUCGUAACAAGGUUUCCGUAGGUGAACCUGCGGAAGGAUCAUUAAUGAAUUUUGGAGUUCUACUGUGCCUGCCGUUCAUUUGGAUGUGUGCACGUAGUCUCUAUAAAUCCUUAUCAACACCUGUGCACCUUUAAAAAGGGGGAAACUGAUUAAGCUUUUUACGGGCUUAUGAGGAAUAACCUUUUUUCUUAUACAAACUCUUAAUGUCUAUUAGAAUGUUCUCUGGCCGCAAGGCUAUAAAAUAUAAACAACUUUUAACAACGGAUCUCUUGGCUCUC